UACGGGGGGAGCAAGCGUUGUUCGGAUUUACUGGGCGUAAAGGGCGCGUAGGCGGCCAGCACAAGUCAGGUGUGAAAUCUCGGAGCUUAACUCCGAAACUGCAUUGGAUACUGCGUUGCUUGAGGAUUGUAGAGGAGAGUGGAAUUCACGGUGUAGCAGUGAAAUGCGUAGAUAUCGUGAGGAAGACCAGUUGCGAAGGCGACUCUCUGGGCAAUUCCUGACACUGAGGCACGAAGGCCAGGGGAGCAAACGGG
rnacentral:rRNA from 1 species